rnacentral:rRNA from 1 species
UGGGGAAUUUUGGACAAUGGGCGAAAGCCUGAUCCAGCAAUGCCGCGUGUGUGAAGAAGGCCUUCGGGUUGUAAAGCACUUUUGUCCGGAAAGAAAUCCUUGGCUCUAAUACAGUCGGGGGAUGACGGUACCGGAAGAAUAAGCACCGGCUAACUACGUGCCAGCAGCCGCGGUAAUACGUAGGGUGCAAGCGUUAAUCGGAAUUACUGGGCGUAAAGCGUGCGCAGGCGGUUUGCUAAGACCGAUGUGAAAUCCCCGGGCUCAACCUGGGAACUGCAUUGGUGACUGGCAGGCUAGAGUAUGGCAGAGGGGGGUAGAAUUCCACGUGUAGCAGUGAAAUGCGUAGAGAUGUGGAGGAAUACCGAUGGCGAAGGCAGCCCCCUGGGCCAAUACUGACGCUCAUGCACGAAAGCGUGGGGAGCAAACAGGAUUAGAUACCCUGGUAGUCCAGCGCCCUAAACGAUGUCAACUAGUUGUUGGGGAUUCAUUUCCUUAGUAACGUAGCUAACGCGUGAAGUUGACCGCCUGGGGAGUACGGUCGCAAGAUUAAAACUCAAAGGAAUUGACGGGUCAUAGCUG